ensembl:antisense Gldnos gliomedin, opposite strand
GAUGGUGAGGGCAAAGCCGAGAAGAGAUGAUUCAAUGGGCUCUACAAGGCAGUGUUCUGGUUGGAAGGCUCAGCAGGCUUACUCCUACUGCCUCUGCUGCUUCGGCUGGAAAGAGACCAGACCAACCAUGAGGGGUGCCUGGCACAGGGAUGGCGGGAGCUGGUUCUCUCACCGUGAGGAAGAUAUGGCGCUGAAACACUUAAGGUGAGGUUGGAAAGGAACAUGAAGAAUUUAGUGGAUGGGAGAGGUGAUGGAGCCAAAUAUGAGUGGUGUGGACAGCUCACAACAGAGUCUGGCGAAGGACUGUCCUCUCAUAGCUGGGCAGAGAAUGCAGAGGGCCUUUUGUACAAGAAGGUUCCAUCCACUCCCUUUGGCUCUUCAUGGUCUUUCCUGUGGACAUUCCAGAAGAGUGCAGGAAGGUGACCUUGGGGGAAUCUGUGGUUCAUGUUGGAACACUGGACAUACCACAUAAUUGGAAAGAUGCCUUCUGGAAGCAUCACAAGGUGCAACUCAACUUUUCAAAUGCUGGUAACAAGAACAUUUCCAUUUCCAAUGACUACUUGUGUCCUGAAACUUUCCACCCAAAUAAUAGCAGACAUUCUAGCUGUGACAGUCAUGGGCACGAUGCCAGGGUCUCUGUGACAACCAUGAUCAUCCAAGUAGUGACCUGUGGGAGGCGAGAAGGUAAUUGGUUUCAAGACGACUAAGUAGCCAGUUUUGGUUCAAACUUUUGGAACCUGCCCCUGAGUUUUAGCUAUAUUUAAGCAAAGUAUAAUUUGGUAGAAACCUUUCCUUGUGAUAAGGAACUCAAUCUCGUGUGCACAAUAAAGCUUAAGAUGUG